GUUCCCUACGGGAGGCAGCAGUAGGGAAUCUUCCACAAUGGGCGAAAGCCUGAUGGAGCAACGCCGCGUGGGUGAAGAAGGUCUUCGGAUCGUAAAACCCUGUUGUUAGAGAAGAAAGUGCGUGAGAGUAACUGUUCACGUUUCGACGGUAUCUAACCAGAAAGCCACGGCUAACUACGCGCCAGCAGCCGCGGUAAUACGUAGGUGGCAAGCGUUAUCCGGAUUUAUUGGGCGUAAAGGGAACGCAGGCGGGCUUUUAAGUCUGAUGUGAAAGCAUUCGGGUUAAGCGGAGUAGUGGAUGGGAA
rnacentral:rRNA from 1 species